ensembl:lncRNA
AAAAGUAACCUCCGAUUUUGGAACCUAAAGCUGGGGUUAUCCGCUCGCUUAUUCUCAAACAUACCCGGGUAUGUCACAUAACCUGCAUUUUGGAAUACGCCCCGUGUUAACUGGGUUCACACUCCAGUCCAGCGGGUGGCGCUAAAACACAUACAUUCGUUUGCCAAACACCACUGAACCUCAGAAGAAAAUCCGUUUCACCACGAUCUCUGUUGUUGUUAUGUCGGGAUGCUGCCUUAAUAAAAAAGCUUAGAAACGUUUCUUUUAAGAGAAAAAUACAGUUUUCGAGUCAGGUCUGUAAAUACCUGUAAUAUUCUCGUCCUCACAGUUGUGACUAGGUUUUGAAACAAGCAGGGAUAUCUGGAGGAUUAUCAUCUGAACUGAGAUCUGCUGCCGUGAAGAUGAUGUUUGUUAAAGAGGAGAGAGAAGAGGACACGAUUGAACCAGAAACCUGGAGAAUAAAACACGAGGAACCAGAACCCUGGAGAAUAAAACAUGAGGAACAAGGAGGAGGCGCUGUUUGAGUCGGAGGUAUAGCAGUUUCCCCGGUAAUGGCUGUAAUCAAAUAAGCACUGCGCUCACAAACGUUACUGUAUAAGGCAUUACAGGAAAGACUAAAUGAAAAUUACAUCUAAGCUUUUCUGAAGAUGGUUGGUUCUUUUCAAGGAAUUGUUUCUACUUUCACAUGCAAAUGAUUUGUUGCACUUAUGAAAUUCUAGUAGGGCAUCAAUUCUAGCUGUGUGUGGACAAGGUGUGGCUGCAGCCUAAGAAGGAGAGUAUGGUGCUGUGCGGUAUGGUGUUCCACGACAAUGCUUAGCUGCUUGCAGAUGCACCUGCCUAUAAAUCAGCCUGAUUUGCAGCAUAAUCAGCCGAUGCCGAUUAAUUAAAAAAUGCCAAAAAUCAGCCCGAUUAAUCGGCAAGCUGAUCAAUCAGUCAGCCUCUGUGUAAAACAUGGAAUGACUUUCAUUUCUGGGUGAACGAACGCUUUAACCUGUUAACCUGCACCCCCCCAUUUUGGGACUCACAGCUGAA